rnacentral:rRNA from 1 species
AUGCAUGUGGCUGCCUGUAAUAACAGGUUAUUUUCUCAGAGGUUAACAAACCAAUGUUACAUGCAUGUACCUUACUCGCAUGCAGUCGUGGAGUCCAUCGGGGUGUGCUACGGCAUGAGCGCCAACAACCUGCCAGCGGCGAGCACCGUCGUGGGCAUGUUCAAGUCCAACGGGAUCAAAUCGAUGCGGCUGUACGCCCCCGACAAGGCGGCGCUGCAGGCCGUCGGUGGCACGGGCAUCUACGUGGUCGUCGGGGCGCCUAACGACGUGCUCUCCAACCUCGCCGCCAGCCCGGCGGCCGCCGCCUCGUGGGUCAGGAGCAACAUCCAGGCGUAUCCCAAGGUUUCCUUCCGGUACGUCUGCGUCGGAAACGAGGUCGCCGGCGGUGCCACCCGGAACCUCGUCCCAGCAAUGAAGAACGUGCAUGGCGCGCUCACUUCCGCCGGGCUGGGCCACAUCAAGGUGACCACGUCGGUGUCGCAGGCCAUCCUCGGCGUGUACAGCCCGCCCUCUGCCGGGUCCUUCACCGCAGAGGCGGCCGCGUUCAUGGGCCCCGUGGUGCAGUUCCUUGCCCGCACCCGCGCACCGCUCAUGGCCAACAUCUACCCCUACCUGGCCUGGGCCUACAACCCGAGCGCCAUGGACAUGAGCUACGCCCUCUUCACCGCAUCCGGCACCGUGGUCCAGGACGGUGGCUUCGGGUACCAGAACCUGUUCGAUACCACGAUGGACGCCUUCUACACGGCCAUGGCCAAGCACGGCGGCUCUAACGUGAAGCUAGUGGUGUCGGAGAGCGGGUGGCCGUCCGGCGGCGGCACCGCGGCGACUCCAGCCAACGCCAGGUUCUACAACCAGCACCUCAUCAACCACGUCGGGCGCGGAACCCCACGCCACCAGGGCGCCAUCGAGACCUACAUCUUCGCCAUGUUCAACGAGAACCAGAAGACCAGCGGCGUGGAGCAGCACUGGGGACUCUUCUACCCCAACAUGCAGCACGUCUACCCCAUCAACUUCUGA